UUUCUGUAGGUGAACCUGCAGAAGGAUCAUUAGUGAAUUGUCAAACGGGUUGUUGCUGGUCUUCAAACGGGGACAUGUGCACGCUCUGUUUACACAUCCACUCACACCUGUGCACCCUCCGUAGUUCUAUGGUCUGGGGGACCCUGUCUUCCUGCCGUGGUUCUACGUCUUUACACACACUCUGUAAUAAAGUCUUAUGGAACGUAUGCCGCGUCUAACGCAAUACAAUACAACUUUCAGCAACGGAUCUCUUGGCUCUC
rnacentral:misc_RNA from 1 species